CACAUCCCGUCUCUUUUCGGCGCAUGCGUAUUUUUCAAACCCAGAAAUUCACUACAACUGCGCAUGUACCAAAAAUCCACUCGAUUCAUGAGAUUUAGAAGAUGGUGGCUGGGAGCACUCACUCUGCUUUUCCGGUCGCUAUUUCUUGAGCGAGAAGGAUUCAGGGCUGCUGUUGGAUUCCUCACAUCCUGACUCCUUUUGUCGCCAUCAUUUUGUGCAGUUUUCUAUUGUUUUGCCAGGAAUGGAAGUGGUACUCUAAAGAAAAUCUUUGGUUUUAUUUAUUGUGUCUUAGAUUUGUUGUAUGAUCCUGCUUCAUGUUUUCAUUUAUGUUUUAAUAAAAUUAUAAAUAAAAUUA